rnacentral:rRNA from 1 species
UACAGAGGUCUCAAGCGUUGUUCGGAUUCAUUGGGCGUAAAGGGUGCGUAGGUGGUCGGGUAAGUCCGAUGUGAAAUCUCUGGGCUCAACCCAGAAAUGGCAUUGGAUACUAUUCGGCUAGAGGAGUGGAGGGGGGACUGGAAUACUUGGUGUAGCAGUGAAAUGCGUAGAUAUCAAGUGGAACACCAGUGGCGAAGGCGAGUCCCUGGACACUUCCUGACACUGAGGCACGAAAGCUAGGGGAGCAAACAGG